rnacentral:sRNA from 1 species
UAUUUUCAGCUUUUCAUCAGUUUGCAGUUUGUUUUUGUCAGAUUUUGAAUUGUUGAUAUGGCAGAAGGAGGUAAAAACCUAACAGGUGUUGAUCAAGAAGCGGGAGCGAAACCAAAGAAGGGGCGUGGCCGAGGAUUGUCAAAAACAAAUACAUCUUUGGUAGACCCAGAAAUCAGAAAGAUUGAACAGGAGGAACUAUGCAGCAGUAAGGCCAGCGAAAAGUCGACAGCUCAUCAGAACCUUGGUACAGCAAGAGUAGAGAAAGAGUCUACAACUAACGAGGAGUUACUCAAGACACUACAAAGUAUUGAAAAAAGGUUAGAGAAAGUAGAACUAAUGCAUAAUCAAAGUAAUGAAUUAUCUCCUCCAAACACUCAGUUUUAUGGCAGAGGACGAGCAUUUCGGAGGGGGCAUUCGUACAACAGAGGAAACAACAGAGAUUCCUCUGUAGAGUCAGUGUUAACAGAACAGUCUGAAAAUGGGCAACAAGGAGUGAUAGUUUGUCCAGGGCUAUUAUCCAUGAAGAAUGCAGGUAGAAACAAAAGGGUCAACGUUAAGGUUAACCCUCUAGCGGAGAGUUGUGUAAUUGGAAAGUCAAUGAAGCUGAAGUCAGAAGAAGUCGAUGAAACACCGCAGAAGCUUAGCAACAUCGAUUGGCGAGAGGAACAAGGUAAGGAUAAAGUUAUUAGUAGAGUCAAGGAUCUGUUAAACGGUGGGGUCAAACCAUCUGGUAAUAAUCUGCAACAGGAAUCAGAACCAGUCAGGUUACUUUUAAGGGAAUGGAGACAACUGGUGGUUGAGAGAGGAAUCUUGGUAAGAAAGGCGGUGAUUGCAGGAGAGGAAGUUCGUCAGCUAGUCCUUCCUGAGUCAACUGAAAAGAUGCCAAGACCAGAGCAAAAAGAAUCAACAGAGAAAUCAGAUAUUUCAGAAUCAGAAUCCAGUGAUGAAGGAACUAUCAUUAGAAAAAGGAAAGUUUCACAAGUUCAGCAUUUGACGCGGACACGGAUAGCUGACCGUGUGUCAUAUUGUUGA